AUGUGCAGCUCCCGGCUGAGAAUGAGGCUGACCGGAGCCCUGGACUGCACGCUCCAUACCUCCCCUGCCCUGGGGAGAAGCAGGCCCAGAGCACCCCCACCCCCAACACACACACACACACACACACACACUCUCAACCUCGCACACCCCCAACCUCGCAGGCCCUCCGUUCUAGAGCUCAGGCCUGGGGCAGUGGCCAAGGCCAGUGUGGCCACUCUGGCCUGCGGAGGGAGGGCCAGGGGACACCGACCUGGGACCACUUGUAGAGAUGCUGCGGGGAAGAUGGCCUUGGGUAUGGGUGGGCUGGGAGACACAGCAGGCAACUCCUCAGCCCCCUGUCCGACCCUCAACCGGCAGUUUGUGCUGCCACCUGCCAGAACAGCCGGCUUAUAGCAAGAGGGGUCGAAGCCAGAUAAGCAGUAGGCGAGCAGGUUCAUCCUCUCUGAGGGGCUUGCGAGAGGACAGCAGCAGGAUGCUCACCCGGAGACUUCAGGGGCCCAUUCCUGGCCUGGAUGAAAUCCCAGGGAUUGGGGGGGGGGGCAGAUGGAGCGGGAGGAGGUGGGGGGCGGCCCUGCCUCCACAUUGCAAGCUGAAGUAGGGUAAGGAAUGCGCCCGCCCGGGUGCGGUGGGGCUGAGAUGCAGGUCCAGGGAGAAUGGAAUGAAAAGGCUGUUGAGUGGUGGGGCAAGUGUGUGCGGUAGGAGGGGAAGGCGGGGCGCCUCCCCCAGCCCUGCUCCUGCAGCACUAACUUGGGACCGGGACCCCCGGGGGCCUCUGCUGUGACGUCAGCUUGCGCGGGGGAGCCCAGGACCACUGUUUGAGAUGACCCCACACACACACACACACCCGGGCUGGGCAAAACGGGGGGACUGUGUCGGUUCCCAGGGGCUGCUGGAAUGUGAGCCCUGCGCUCCGCUCUCUCUGCCCCAGAUCCAAGGACCAGGGGCCCCUUGACGCCACUGAGGCUGAUGAGCCCCCUUUCCCCCUACCCACCUUCCUUCUGGCGACAAGGAAGACCAGGUCAGGAGCAGGAGGAAGCAGACGCUGGGCCACACCCCUGCCCCCUGCUCCUGCAGGUGAGCUCUCACCUUGACGGGCUGGGGGGGGGGGGGGGCAGAUGCGCCACUGUGCAAGUAAGCCUGUGCGUCUGCACCGUGAGGACGCUGCGUCCGCCCGGCCUACUCCCCUCGGAGGGCCAGGUUCCAGCACCCGACCUCCCAGCCCGGAAAGGUUUGCGAAGUGCUUCCGGAGCCUCUGCCCACUGCCUCCAUCCCCCCAGCUCUCUGCCCAACAGUUGGUCACCUCCAAGCAGGAGGUAAAGAUUCCGCCACCUGCUCCUAGCUUCCACCCACACCAACCCCAGGCCCAGCCACCUUGGGGCGCACUCCUGCCCUA
rnacentral:lncRNA from 1 species